UCCCUGAUGGUUCAGUGGUUAAGGCUCUGUGCUUUCACUACUAACGGCCUGGGUUCAAUCCCUAGUCAGGGAU
rnacentral:tRNA from 1 species